rnacentral:rRNA from 1 species
UUGAUCCUGGCUCACGAUAACGCUGGCGGUCUGCUUACACAUGCAAGUCGAACGCAACCUUCGGGUUGAGUGGCGGACGGGUGAGUAACGCGUGAGAAUCUGCCUUAGGGUCGGGGACAACCACUGGAAACGGUGGCUAAUACCGGAUAAGCCUUUGGGUAAAAAAUUUAUUGCCCCAAGAGGAGCUCGCGUCUGAUUAGCUAGUUGGUGAGGUAAAAGCUCACCAAGGCAGCGAUCAGUAGCUGGUCUGAGAGGACGAUCAGCCACACUGGGACUGAGACACGGCCCAGACUCCUACGGGAGGCAGCAGUGGGGAAUUUUCCGCAAUGGGCGAAAGCCUGACGGAGCAAGACCGCGUGAGGGAGGAAGGCUCUUGGGUUGUAAACCUCUUUUCUCAGGGAAGAAGCUCUGACGGUACCUGAGGAAUCAGCCUCGGCUAACUCCGUGCCAGCAGCCGCGGUAAUACGGAGGAGGCAAGCGUUAUCCGGAAUUAUUGGGCGUAAAGCGUCCGCAGGUGGCGAUUCAAGUCUGCUGUCAAAGCACGGGGCUUAACUCCGUUAAGGCAGUGGAAACUGAAUAGCUAGAGUGCCGUAGGGGUAGAGGGAAUUCCCGGUGUAGCGGUGAAAUGCGUAGAGAUCGGGAAGAACAUCGGUGGCGAAAGCGCUCUACUGGACGGCAACUGACACUCAGGGACGAAAGCUAGGGGAGCGAAUGGGAUUAGAUACCCCAGUAGUCCUAGCUGUAAACGAUGGAUACUAGGUGUAGCUUGUAUCGACCCGAGCUGUGCCGAAGCUAACGCGUUAAGUAUCCCGCCUGGGGAGUACGCACGCAAGU